rnacentral:rRNA from 1 species
GACAGAGGCCUCGAGCGUUAGGCGGAAUCACUGGGCUUAAAGCGUGUGUAGGCGGGCCCGUAAGUGUCUUGUGAAAUCCCACGGCUCAACCGUGGAACUGCUGGGCAUACUGCGGGUCUUGGGCCAACUAGGGGCAGCCGGAACAAGCGGUGGAGCGGUGAAAUGCGUAGAUAUCGUUUGAAACGCCAAUGGUGAAAACAGGUAGCUGGGGGUGUGCUGACACUGAGACACGAAAGCCAGGGGAGCGAACGGG